CCGGACUACAACCCACAACUCCAGAGAAGCUAUCUAAGAAGAAGGACCCUAAGAGAGACACAUAGAUAGUCCUGCAAAGAAGAAAUAGAUGAGAUCUACAUGAGCAAACUGAAAGCCAGAGGCUAUGGAUUUGUUCAAGAUUAAGAUACAUCAGGUUUGACCAGCCAAGACCCCCUGAAAGGUCUCGGAUGACAACAUGGCCGUGAUGAUCCAACAUCCAGAAUGGUUUCAAGGCAACUGGCUCAGACGACAUACCCUCAUGGACUAUUCCAUAAUUCUAAAAUUUUCUUUGUAUCCCUAUAAGAUACAGCGCCCCCCUCCAGCAGGAAGUAAUAAGAGAAACUACACCCAAAUUCCCAAAUAUACCAAGCUGACUUUGGAGAUA